UACGCCCGAUCUCGUCCGAUCUCGGAAGCUAGGCAGGGUCGGGCCUGGUUAGUACUUGGAUGGGAGACCGCCUGGGAAUACCAGGUGCUGCAAGCUU
rnacentral:rRNA from 1 species